UACAGGGGGGGCAAGCGUUGUUCGGAAUUACUGGGCGUAAAGGGUCUGUAGGUGGCCAACUAAGUCAGACGUGAAAUCCCUCAGCUUAACUGGGGAACUGCGUCUGAUACUGGAUGGCUCGAGUGUGGGAGAGGAAUGCGGAAUUCCAGGUGUAGCGGUGAAAAUGCGUAGAUAUCUGGAGGAACACCGGUGGCGAAGGCGGCAUUCUGGACCACAACUGACACUGAGAGACGAAAAGCCAGGGGGAGCAAAACGGGG
rnacentral:rRNA from 1 species